rnacentral:rRNA from 1 species
GGGGAAUCUUGCGCAAUGGGGGAAACCCUGACGCAGUGACGCCGCGUGAACGAUGAAGUCCUUCGGGAUGUAAAGUUCUGUCAGGCGGGAAGAACCUCUCCGAUUGCAUCGGAGAAAUGACGGUACCGCCAAAGGAAGCACCGGCUAAUUCCGUGCCAGCAGCCGCGGUAAGACGGAGGGUGCAAGCGUUGUUCGGAAUUACUAGGCGUAAAGAGCGUGUAGGUGGUUAGUUAAGUCGGAUGUGAAAAUUCCAAGCUUAACUUGGAACCGGCAUUCGAAACUGGUUAACUUGAGUGUAGGAGAGGAGAGCGGAAUUCCUAGUGUAGCGGUGAAAUGCGUAGAUAUUAGGAAGAACACCGGUGGCGAAGGCGGCUCUCUGGCCUAAAACUGACACUGAGACGCGAAAGCGUGGGUAGCAAACAG